GACGAACGCUGGCGGCGUGCCUAAUACAUGCAAGUAGGACGCAGUUGCGAACGGGUGAGUAACGCGUAGGUAACUACCUAUUAGUGGGGGCUAACUAUUGGAAACGAUAGCUAAUACCGCCUACUAGUAGAUGGACCUGCGUUGUAUUAGCUAGUAGGUAGGGUAAUGGCCUACCUAGGCAACGAUACAUAGUCGACCUGGGAGGGUGGUCCGCCAACCGGGGAAUGGAGAAAGGGCCAGACUCCCACGGGAGGCAGCAAUAGGGAAUCUUCGGCCAUGGGGGGAACCCUGACCGAGCAACGCCGCGUGAUUGAAAAAGGGUUUCGGGUCGUAAAGCUCUGUUGUUAAGGAAGCGGUACUUAACCAGAAAGCAACGGCUAACUACGUGCCAGCAGCCGCGGUAAUUC
rnacentral:rRNA from 1 species